rnacentral:misc_RNA from 1 species
UUAAGUUCAGCGGGUAUUCCUACCUGAUCCGAGGUCAACCUUGGUGCCGCCGGGGCGGGCUUGUAGGGGGUUUAGAGGCAGGACGCCGAGGACUCCCGAUGCGAGGCUGAUGCUACUGCGCAAAGGAGAGGGCCCUUCGGGUCCGCCACUGGUUUUAGGGGCCUGCCGUGGCAGAUCCCCAACGCCGGGCCACGGGGGCU